UACGAAGGGGGCUAGCGUUGCUCGGAAUCACUGGGCGUAAAGCGCACGUAGGCGGAUCGUUAAGUCAGGGGUGAAAUCCUGGAGCUCAACUCCAGAACUGCCUUUGAUACUGGCGAUCUCGAGUCCGGGAGAGGUGAGUGGAACUGCGAGUGUAGAGGUGAAAUUCGUAGAUAUUCGCAAGAACACCAGUGGCGAAGGCGGCUCACUGGCCCGGUACUGACGCUGAGGUGCGAAAGCGUGGGGAGCAAACAGGG
rnacentral:rRNA from 1 species